UAAUACGAAGGGUGCAAGCGUUACUCGGAAUUACUGGGCGUAAAGCGUGCGUAGGUGGUUCGUUAAGUCAGAUGUGAAAUCCCCGGGCUCAACCUGGGAACUGCAUUUGAAACUGGCAAGCUAGAGUCUCGUAGAGGGGGGGUAGAAUUCCAGGUGUAGCGGUGAAAUGCGUAGAGAUCUGGAGGAAUACCGGUGGCGAAGGCGGCCCCCUGGACGAAGACUGACGCUCAGGUGCGAAAGCGUGGGGAGCAAACAGGAUUAGAUACCCUGGUAGUCCACGCUGUAAACGAUGUCGAUUUGGAGGUUGUGCCCUUGAGGCGUGGCUUCCGGAGCUAACGCGUUAAAUCGACCGCCUGGGGAGUACGGCCGCAAGGUUA
rnacentral:rRNA from 1 species